rnacentral:lncRNA from 1 species
GAAAAAGACACAUCGAGUAGAAUUCUAUAUCCAGAGAAAUAAUCCUUGAAGAAUGAAGGUGAAGACAUUUAAAGAUAACUGUAAAAUGAGAGAAUUCCUCACCAUCAGACCUGCCCAAGGAGACACACUAAAGGAAGUUCUUCAGAUGAAAGGGAAUAAUAUUAGAUAGAAACUUGAAUCUUUGGAAGAAAUGAAAAGCACCAGAAAUGGAGGAGACGAAGGAGGAGGGAAGAAAAGAGCCAAGCAUCCGGCCUCCAAGCCUCAUUCCUCGUCCCCUGUGGCCCCAUCAGCAUCAUUUCACACAGCGGGUCCCUCCCCGCAUCCAGCCACACUUCCCUCACUUGCUUCCGGAUGCCACCGUCUCCUGGGUGCCCCCCCACCCCGUUCACUGGCCACUCUCGUUCCCUUUGGCUGAUUCUCCACCGUCUUUGAGCCUCUUCUCUCUCCAUCUGUGCUCACUCCCUUGCUCACCUC